UNUGGUCUGUCACCGACGCUGAGGCUCGAAAGCGUGGGUAGCGAACAGGAUUAGAUACCCUGGUAGUNCACGCCGUAAACGAUGAGUGCUAGGUGUUAGGCCCUUUCCGGGGCUUAGUGCCGGAGCUAACGCAAUAAGCACUCCGCCUGGGGAGUACGACCGCAAGGUUGAAACUCAAAGGAAUUGACGGGGGCCCGCACAAGCGGUGGAGCAUGUGGUUUAAUUCGAAGCAACGCGAAGAACCUUACCAGGUCUUGACAUCCCGAUGCUAUUCUUAGAGAUAGGAAGUUACUUCGGUACAUCGGAGACAGGUGGUGCAUGGUUGUCGUCAGCUCGUGUCGUGAGAUGUUGGGUUAAGUCCCGCAACGAGCGCAACCCUUAUUGUUAGUUGCCAUCAUUAAGUUGGGCACUCUAGCGAGACUGCCGGUAAUAAACCGGAGGAAGGUGGGGAUGACGUCAAAUCAUCAUGCCCCUUAUGACCUGGGCUACACACGUGCUACAAUGGUCGGUACAACGAGUUGCGAGCCGGUGACGGCAAGCUAAUCUCUGAAAGCCGAUCUCAGUUCGGAUUGGAGGCUGCAACUCGCCUCCAUGAAGUCGGAAUCGCUAGUAAUCGCGGAUCAGCACGCCGCGGUGAAUACGUUCCCGGGCCUUGUACACACCGCCCGUCACACCACGAGAGUUUGUAACACCCGAAGUCGGUGAGGUAACCUUUUAGGGGCCAG
rnacentral:rRNA from 1 species